rnacentral:rRNA from 1 species
CCUACGGGGGGCAGCAGUGGGGAAUAUUGGGCAAUGGGCGCAAGCCUGACCCAGCAACGCCGCGUGAAGGAAGAAGGCUUUCGGGUUGUAAACUUCUUUUCUCAGGGACGAAGCAAGUGACGGUACCUGAGGAAUAAGCCACGGCUAACUACGUGCCAGCAGCCGCGGUAAUACGUAGGUGGCAAGCGUUAUCCGGAUUUACUGGGGGUAAAGGGCGUGUAGGCGGGAAAGCAAGUCAGAUGUGAAAACCAUGGGCUCAACCUGUGGCCUGCAUUUGAAACUGUUUUUCUUGAGUACUGGGGAGGCAGACGGAAUUUCUAGUGUAGCGGUGAAAUGCGUAGAUAGUAGGAGGAACACCAGUGGCGAAGGCGGGCUGCUGGACAGCAACUGACGCUGAGGCGCGAAAGCGUGGGGAGCAAACAGGAUUAGAUACCCGAGUAGUC